UUCGCCCUUAGAGUUUGAUCCUGGCUCAGGACGAACGCUGGCGGCAUGCCUAACACAUGCAAGUCGAACGGAGUURUUAUUCAGAAGUUCUUCGGGAUGGAAGGAUAAGAACUUAGUGGCGGACGGGUGAGUAACGCGUGGGUAACCUGCCCUUUUGUGGGGAACAACUUCGAGAAAUCGGAGCUAAUACCGCAUAAUAAUAGAGGAUCGCAUGAUUCUUUAAGGAAAGAUGGCCUCUGAAGAUGCUAUCGCAAAAGGAUGGACCCGCGUCUGAUUAGCUAGUUGGAAGGGUAACGGCCUACCAAGGCAACGAUCAGUAGCCGGCCUGAGAGGGUGAACGGCCACAUUGGGACUGAGACACGGCCCAAACUCCUACGGGAGGCAGCAGUGGGGAAUCUUCCGCAAUGGGCGAAAGCCUGACGGAGCAAUGCCGCGUGAGUGAAGAAGGCCUUCGGGUUGUAAAACUCUGUCCUUAUCGAAGAGAGGUAGGUAUGUGAAUAAUGUACCUAUAGGACGGUAGAUAAGGAGGAAGCCCCGGCUAACUACGUGCCAGCAGCCGCGGUAAUACGUAGGGGGCGAGCGUUGUCCGGAAUCACUGGGCGUAAAGGGCGCGUAGGCGGUUUAAUAAGUCAGUGGUGAAAACUGAGGGCUCAACCCUCAGCCUGCCACUGAUACUGUUAGACUUGAGUAUGGAAGAGGAGAAUGGAAUUCCUAGUGUAGCGGUGAAAUGCGUAGAUAUUAGGAGGAACACCAGUGGCGAAGGCGAUUCUCUGGGCCAAGACUGACGCUGAGGCGCGAAAGCGUGGGGAGCAAACAGGAUUAGAUACCCUGGUAGUCCACGCCGUAAACGAUGGAUACUAGGUGUUAGUAGUUUCGAUGCUACUAGUGCCGGAGUAAACACAAUAAGUAUCCCGCCUGGGGAGUACGGUCGCAAGACUGAAACUCAAAGGAAUUGACGGGGGCCCGCACAAGCGGUGGAGCAUGUGGUUUAAUUCGACGCAACGCGAAGAACCUUACCAAGACUUGACAUCCUCCUGACAAGAUAUGUAAUGUAUCUCUUUUCUUCGGAGACAGGAGAGACAGGUGGUGCAUGGUUGUCGUCAGCUCGUGUCGUGAGAUGUUGGGUUAAGUCCCGCAACGAGCGCAACCCUUAUUUCUAGUUGCCAGCAGUAAGAUGGGGACUCUAGAGAGACUGCCAGUGACAAACUGGAGGAAGGUGGGGAUGACGUCAAAUCAUCAUGCCCCUUAUGUCUUGGGCUACACACGUGCUACAAUGGUCAGAACAGAGGGAAGCGAAGCCGCGAGGUGGAGCAAAUCCCAGAAAACUGAUCUCAGUUCGGAUUGCAGGCUGCAACCCGCCUGCAUGAAGUCGGAAUCGCUAGUAAUCGCGGGUCAGCAUACCGCGGUGAAUACGUUCCCGGGCCUUGUACACACCGCCCGUCACACCACGAAAGUUAGUAACACCCGAAGCCGGUGGCCUAACCCGCAAGGGAGGGAGCUGUCGAAGGUGGGACUGAUGAUUGGGGUGAAGUCGUAACAAGGUARCCGUA
rnacentral:rRNA from 1 species